UGGCGGAUGCCUUGGCUCUCGGAGGCGAUGAAGGACGUGAUAAGCUGCGAUAAGUCACGGGGAGGUGCAAAUAACCUUUGAUCCGUGAAUCUCCGAAUGGGACAACCCGAUAUCCUGAAGGGAUAUCACCUCAUCUAAUUGAGGAGCUAACGCAGGGAACUGAAACAUCUUAGUACCUGCAGGAAAAGAAAAUAACAAUGAUUCCCCCAGUAGUGGCGAGCGAACGGGGAAUAGCCCAAACCAUUCAUGUUACGGCAUGGAUGGGGUUGUAGGACCACGGCGUUGCAAGAACUCUUGUGAGAAGAACAGCCUGGAAAGACUGACCACAGACGGUGACAGUCCGGUAUUCGAAGCAAGACGAAGCAUAGUGGUAUCCUGAGUAGCGCGGAACACGAGGAAUUCUGCGUGAAUCUGCCGGGACCAUCCGGUAAGGCUAAAUACUCCCGAGAGACCGAUAGUGGACCAGUACCGUGAGGGAAAGGUGAAAAGCACUUCGAACAGAAGAGUGAAACAGUACCUGAAACCGUGCGCCUACAAGCGGUCGGAGCACGAAAGUGUGACGGCGUGCCUUUUGCAUAAUGAACCUACGAGUUACCGUAUCUGGCAAGGUUAAGGGUCACGAGACCUGCAGCCGAAGCGAAAGCGAGUCUGAAGAGGGCGUCGAGUCAGUUGCGGUAGACGCGAAACCAAGUGAUCUACCCUUGGCCAGGAUGAAGUCUGGGUAACACCAGAUGGAGGUCCGCACCAAUAAGCGUUGAAAAGCUUCUGGAUGAGCUGAGGGUAGGGGUGAAAGGCUAAUCAAACUUGGAGAUAGCUCGUACUCCCCGAAAUGCAUUUAGGUGCAGCCUCGCGGGUUACUGAUGUGAGGUAGAGCGACUGAUUGGAUGCGAGGGCUUCACCGCCUAUCAAGUCCUGACAAACUCCGAAUGCGCAUCAGUUUUACCGCGGGAGUGAGGGCAUGGGUGCUAAGGUCCGUGCCCGAGAGGAGAAGAAUCCGGACUAUCAGCUAAGGCCCCGAAAUGACAGCUAAGUUAAACUAACGAAGUCUGAUUGCUAAGACAGCUAGGAUGUUGGCUUGGAAGCAGCCAUUCAUUUAAAGAGUGCGUAACAGCUCACUAGUCGAGGAAUCGGGCGUGGAUAAUAAUCGGGUAUGAAGUUGUCUGCCGAAGCUAUAGAAUCAGCAAUGAUUGGUAGGGGAGCAUUCCAUUCGGCGUUGAAGGCGUGGCGUGAGCCAUUCUGGAGCGUAUGGAAAAGCAAAUGUAGGUAUAAGUAACGAUAAAGGGGGUGGGAAACCCCCUCGCCGAAAGACUAAGGUUUCCUGAUCAACGCUAAUCGGAUCAGGGUAAGUCGGGUCCUAAGGUUCAGCCGAACGGCGAGACCGAUGGCAGAAACGGUUAAUAUUCCGUUACUACCUUUGAGGGUGACGUGGGGACGCAGGAGUGACACCGCCGCCGGCUGACGGAAUAGCCGGUUAAAGAGUGUAGACGCCGAUUUCCGCAGGCAAAUCCACGGAAAGAGUCGAACUUGACAGUAUGGAACGUCCUUCGGGACAAUCCAAUAGUGCGGGUAAGCAGACUGCCGAGAAAAUCCGCUAAACAUAACUUCAGAGGUACCCGUACCGCAAACGGACACACGUAGUCGGGUUGAAUAUACUAAGGCGCUUGAGUGAUUCACGGUUAAGGAACUAGGCAAACUGACCCUGUAACUUCGGGAUAAAGGGUCCCUACCCGGAAACGGGAGGGCGCAGAGAAUAGGUCCAGGCAACUGUUUAACAAAAACACAGGGCUGUGCCAAUAUGAAAGUAGACGUAUACAGCCUGACACCUGCCCGGUGCUGGAAGGUUAAGAGGAGAUGUCAUCGCAAGAGAAGCAUUGAAUUGAAGCCCCAGUAAACGGCGGCCGUAACAAUAACGGUCCUAAGGUAGCGAAAUUCCUUGUCGGGUAAGUUCCGACCUGCACGAA
rnacentral:rRNA from 1 species